rnacentral:tRNA from 1 species
UGAGAAGAUGGUUGAGUGGUUUAAAACAACGGUUUGCUAAAUCGUCACACUUUAAUUUUAGAAAAGUGUCAUGGGUUCAAAUCCCAUUCUUCUCAAC